GACGAACGCUGGCGGCGUGCUUAACACAUGCAAGUCGAACGAUGAAGCCGGAGCUUGCUCUGGUGAAUUAGUGGCGAACGGGUGAGUAACACGUGAGUAACCUGCCCUUGACUCUGGGAUAACUGCGGGAAACUGUAGCUAAUACCGGAUACGACCCUCGGAGGCAUCUCCUGGGGGUGGAAAGAAUUUCGGUCAAGGAUGGACUCGCGGCCUAUCAGCUAGUUGGUGAGGUAACGGCUCACCAAGGCGACGACGGGUAGCCGGCCUGAGAGGGUGACCGGCCACACUGUGACUGAGACACGGCCCAGACUCCAUCGGGAGGCAGCAGUGGGGAAUAUUGCACAAUGGGCGCAAGCCUGAUGCAGCAACGCCGCGUGAGGGAUGACGGCCUUCGGGUUGUAAACCUCUUUUAGCAGGGAAGAAGCGAAAGUGACGGUACCUGCAGAAAAAGCACCGGCUAACUACGUGCCAGCCGCCGCGGUAA
rnacentral:rRNA from 1 species